GACGAACUUUGGCGGCGUGCUUAACACAUGCAAGUCGAACGGAAAGGCCCUGCUUUUGUGGGGUGCUCGAGUGGCGAACGGGUGAGUAACACGUGAGUAACCUGCCCUUGACUUUGGGAUAACUUCAGGAAACUGGGGCUAAUACCGGAUAGGAGCUCCUGCUGCAUGGUGGGGGUUGGAAAGUUUCGGCGGUUGGGGAUGGACUCGCGGCUUAUCAGCUUGUUGGUGGGGUAGUGGCUUACCAAGGCUUUGACGGGUAGCCGGCCUGAGAGGGUGACCGGCCACAUUGGGACUGAGAUACGGCCCAGACUCCUACGGGAGGCAGCAGUGGGGAAUAUUGCACAAUGGGCGGAAGCCUGAUGCAGCAACGCCGCGUGCGGGAUGACGGCCUUCGGGUUGUAAACCGCUUUCGCCUGUGACGAAGCGUGAGUGACGGUAAUGGGUAAAGAAGCACCGGCUAACUACGUGCCAGCAGCCGCGGUGAUACGUAGGGUGCGAGCGUUGUCCGGAUUUAUUGGGCGUAAAGGGCUCGUAGGUGGUUGAUCGCGUCGGAAGUGUAAUCUUGGGGCUUAACCCUGAGCGUGCUUUCGAUACGGGCUGACUUGAGGAAGGUAGGGGAGAAUGGAAUUCCUGGUGGAGCGGUGGAAUGCGCAGAUAUCAGGAGGAACACCAGUGGCGAAGGCGGUUCUCUGGGCCUUUCCUGACGCUGAGGAGCGAAAGCGUGGGGAGCGAACAGGCUUAGAUACCCUGGUAGUCCACGCUGUAAACGGUGGGUACUAGGUGUGGGGUCCAUUCCACGGGUUCCGUGCCGUAGCUAACGCUUUAAGUACCCCGCCUGGGGAGUACGGCCGCAAGGCUGAAACUCAAAGGAAUUGACGGGGCCCCGCACAAGCGGCGGAGCAUGCGGAUUAAUUCGAUGCAACGCGUAGAACCUUACCUGGGUUUGACAUGGAUCGGGAGUGCUCAGAGAUGGGUGUGCCUCUUUUGGGGUCGGUUCACAGGUGGUGCAUGCCUGUCGUCAGCUCGUGUCGUGAGAUGUUGGGUUAAGUCCCGCAACGAGCGCAACCCUUGUUCACUGUUGCCAGCACGUUAUGGUGGGGACUCAGUGGAGACCGCCGGGGUCAACUCGGAGGAAGGUGGGGAUGACGUCAAGUCCUCAUGCCCCUUAUGUCCAGGGCUUCACGCAUGCUACAAUGGCUGGUACAGAGAGUGGCGAGCCUGUGAGGGUGAGCGAAUCUCGGAAAGCCGGUCUCAGUUCGGAUUGGGGUCUGCAACUCGACCUCAUGAAGUCGGAGUCGCUAGUAAUCGCAGAUCAGCAACGCUGCGGUGAAUACGUUCCCGGGGCU
rnacentral:rRNA from 1 species